rnacentral:rRNA from 1 species
UACAGAGGGUGCGAGCGUUGUCCGGAAUCACUGGGCGUAAAGGGCGCGUAGGCGGCCCCGUAAGUCAGUGCUGAAAUAUCCCGGCUUAACCGGGAGGGUGGCAUUGAUACUGCAGGGCUUGAGUAAAGUUGAGGUAGGCGGAAUUGACGGUGUAGCGGUGAAAUGCUUAGAUAUCGUCAAGAACACCGAUAGUGUAGACAGCUUACUAAGCUUUAACUGACGCUGAGGCACGAAAGUGUGGGGAUCAAACAGG